UCCUUCUUUAUAAGAAAGACUGUAAAAACAUAUAACAGAAAAUAUUUGGAGAUUUCUUAUCUGAAAGCCUUGCUGUCUUAAACAUAUAGUUCUCUUCUAAUAAGCCCAUUUGUAACUCUCUAGUGUAAUUAUACUUUAAUCUGGGGCUUCAAAGAGGAGGAAGAAAGGAAGAGAAUGCAAGACGAGUGCACCAAAUGCAGUGUCACAUGUACAGCCUUCUUCUCAGAGUGUCUUCUUAUCCCAAUUACAAUAUGAUGCCUCAAGAUAAAGCCAUUUAUUCAUCUUAAAGAAUCAUGUUGGUUUUUCAAUUGAAUUUUCACUUUAUCUUGGAGUUUAGAUUUUAUAUAUUCUUUUGUACCUUUCUAGAAUGUCAAGACAAUACACAGAUAGGUCAGUGAAGUUAAUACCAUCCUUGUUCCUGUUUAUAGCAUGAUAGUUUUUCAGAGUUUAUUUUGAUUUUAGUUUAAAUCUAAGCUAAUAUUAAUUUUUAUUCACAUAAUUAGUUAUUAGUGAAUAGGCCUUAUGCGUUCUUGUUUAAGUUACAGAGAGUAGAUUUUUUUCUCAGUCAUGGGGAGUCACACAUCUCAGCACAGUGUAGGGAGUACUGAGAGCACCCUGGAGUGGUAUGGAUUUGGCAUUUUAGAUGAAAACACUGAUGUGGAAAAAGGAUAGUCUUCUGUGUUGAUUGAGUUACCCUGUGUCCUGUCCUUCUGGUCUUCCCUUAGUGUAACCUGAAUAUGGCAGGUAGCAAAAUUCUGUAUGUUAAUUGACUACAUUUGAGCUUCACAAGUAUCACCUUUCCUAGGUUUCUUGGUCUGUCAUUGCAACAUAGAUGUAAACAUGAAUAUAUUUUUAAAAACUGCCCAGAGAUCAUUUGACCUCAAGUAUAUCUCCCUUUCCUGGAGUUGUAGAAGGAUGUUGAAAUAUUUAUUUUCUGGAUUUGGCUUUCCAGAGGGAGAUGAAGAAAGUUAUAUAUCAAACACUGAUGACCUCAUGGGAGCAAUACCACUUUUGUUUCUUUAUAAUUCAGUUUGCUGCUGCUAUUUCUUCUCCUUUCUAGGAAAAAUAUUCCAUGGGCUUCUUUGGAAAUUAAGGUAAAUUUGAUGACUGGGCUUUGAUGCAAAUUUUAUGCAUGAUGUUUUAUUUUAUUGUGUGAUUUUAAAAAAUGUGUAUAAAUAAUAUUUUUCAAGGUCUUUUAUGUGUUAGUGUUAAAAUGAAUAUUCUCCUCUUUUGCCAGCGCUCACUAUUAACAGAAAAAUGUAUAUCUUUUAAAAACAACAAACCAGGCAUAAUAUAAUAAUGCUCUGAAAA